GGUUUGCUUUUGCUUGUGCAGCGCGUAGGUGUUACUUCUUUUCCUCAUUUAGCCCGCCUUUUGCUGAAACUCUCUGCGGAUUACAAAAUAUUUUACAAAAGACGGAUUACAAAAGACAUUUAAUAAACAGUGCAGUAGGAGUAGGAUCGCAUGACUGGAAAGCAUUGAAAACAACGAAACUCGAAAGCAUCACAUUGUAAGCUUCUGCUGCCAGGAUGACUCAGCUCAACCCCACCCCUCCUGAGUAGAUAUAAAUGACCUGCCACAUCUUUUCCACACUGUGUCACUGAGAGAUCUCUGUCUUUUGGUGCUACACCUCUGAAGAUGCCAGCCACAGCUGCUGGCGAAACGUCAGGAACUACAAUGCCAAGACCACGGCAAUACAACCCAGAAAACCCACAACAACCACCCUGAGUUACUGUCAGGAUUGGUGUUAGCAUAACUUGGGGCACCUGCCAAGGCCCAAACCUUCUCAUGGGGCCCACUGCUGCUGCCCGCCCAGUCACCUUCCCUGCUGAUCUGCUUGUUCUGAGCCCUUCCACCACCCACAUUCAUGUCUGUACAUGAUGCUAAGUACUACUGGGGAAGGGUGUGUGGGUGGUGAACAGCCAUUGUACUUCCACCACACCCCAGGAGGCCUCAAGCCCCAAGUUGUGUGCUGAAACACUAUGCAGGUCAGGACUGGAGUAGACAAACUUGCACAGAGGAGAACAGGUACUGCAUGGAAAUGGUUGCUUUGUAUUUUUGUACUAUUGAGAUGAGAAAUAAAAAUGGGACUUUGUUACA